AGGUACAAGAAACGAAGAAAAAGGACAAAGAAAAAAAGGUACAAGAAACGAAGAAAAAAGACAAAGAAACGAAGAAAAAGGACAAGGAAAAAAAGGUAAAAGAAGCGAAGGCAACCGCGUUCAGUGACUAUUCUAUCCUUGGCCGUCUCUGUGAAGAGAACAGACAUUUGAUGCCGAAUUUGAAUAGAAUAAUGAAUAUCAAAGCAUUACAAGACACCAUGAAAAGAGGGGAAGAAUAUUUCCGCCCGGUACAAGAAUACAGGGAGACCAUGGAUGCAAUAAAUAGUUACGAUCCUUCUGGUGACAAUGGUGUCGAGUGUUUAGACCCCGAUGGUGAACCAAGAGUACAACCCUAUUACCAAUGGCAGUUACGAGGCGAACCAAGAAAGCAGCCAGAUGUAAAAGAUUCGUCUGAUGACUCAUCAUCAACUAAUCAGUCUAAGAAUAGACCAGAAGACGAGACUAGGGUGCAGAGCUCGGCAGGAGAAGACACGACGGCAGUCCACCAUCGCGGCAGCAAAAAUGAAAGUCAAAUUAUUGAAAUGGAAUCGACUACAUAAAACUACACCAGACGUAUCAAGUGUAAUUCAGAGUUAAUAAGUGGUGUAACUAACGUUAGUUGUUUAAAUAGCACGACAUGAUUUGGGCUAUUUGUUUAUGAUGAGAGGAACAAAACUUGACUUCCUCAUAUACUAGCAAAGGAGUAGGUAAACAAGAAAUGCCUUUAAAACAAAUGGCCACGAGACCAUUAGAUAAUGGUGAGGAUGACAUGGUGGCAGAAGAUCUUUCGUUAACGACUUAAAGUAUAUCUUUUGAAAUACAUGUAGCCUUUCAAUGUCGGACAUCCGAUGUAGGACUGAUUUAAAGAAAAUGAUAUUGUAACCUUUAACAUGUAGAGGCUGUUCUUAUGUGCGCCAUAAAGUGCUGUAACCCUGGAUUUACAUGUAAUUACUCAGUUACGAGCAUAUUACGUAGCUGUAUAUGGAUAUGAAGGUACAAAACACUCCGAAUGGUCACCACAUACUAUUAUACAUAUACCAUAGACAAAGAUGAAAGUGUAAUAGGUCUAGUACAUGCACGUAUACAUGCACGUAUACAUGCACAUAUAAGUUCGGCCGUUUAGAUUAAAUGCGUCUAGUUAUUAUGAUAAUCGCUGAAGUUCCAACGUUUGAGAUGAUGUUGAUUUUUUUGCGUUCGGUAAUCUGUUCUAUAGUUACUUUAUGUUUGUAGUUGCUAUUAUUGUUAUUAAUUUACAUUAUCGUACGCAAGGCAUUAUAUCCUUCCUUAGAAAGUUUACUACCUUUUUGCUGUUCUGUAACAUUUUUGUUCGUGCAGAUAUGAUAGAGGACAAAUAAAAGUUAGUUGUUAAAUAUUACCGACUGCUGUAUCGAAUUCGCCUAUGAAUUGGAAUUUAAUAGUAACAUUAAUCUAACAAUUUGGAUACGUUUUUCUUAUUAUGAUUCUGAUGAUUGGGAAAUUUUGAAAUAAAACAAAUGCAGCUAUG